ensembl:miRNA MIR18B microRNA mir-18b
AUAAUGUGUCUCUUGUGUUAAGGUGCAUCUAGUGCAGUUAGUGAAGCAGCUUAUAAUCUACUGCCCUAAAUGCUCCUUCUGGCACAGGCUGCCU